UCUAAUAUGGCAGAUUAGUGCAAUGGGUUUAAACUCCAAAUAUAAAGAUUCUCUUUUUUUAGAA
rnacentral:tRNA from 1 species